rnacentral:rRNA from 1 species
AGAACGAACGCUGGCGGCAUGCCUAAUACAUGCAAGUCGAACGAACUCUUCGGAGUUAGUGGCGCACGGGUGCGUAACGCGUGGGAAUCUGCCCUUGGGUUCGGAAUAACAGUUGGAAACGACUGCUAAUACCGGAUGAUGACGAAAGUCCAAAGAUUUAUCGCCCAGGGAUGAGCCCGCGUAGGAUUAGCUAGUUGGUGAGGUAAAGGCUCACCAAGGCGACGAUCCUUAGCUGGUCUAGAGAGGAUGAUCAGCCACACGUGGGACUGGACGACGACCGGCCAGACCUCCGUACGGGAGCAGCAGGUAGGAAUAGUGACAGUGGACAAGCCUAGACUCGAGAC